rnacentral:rRNA from 1 species
UACGUAGGGUGCAAGCGUUACUCGGAAUCACUGGGCGUAAAGAGCGCGUAGGCGGGAUAGCAAGUCAGAUGUGAAAUCCUAUGGCUUAACCAUAGAACUGCAUUUGAAACUGUUAUUCUAGAGUAUGGGAGAGGUAGGUGGAAUUCUUGGUGUAGGGGUAAAAUCCGUAGAGAUCAAGAGGAACACCGGUGGCGAAGGCGGCCUGCUGGACGGCGACUGACGUUGAGGCUCGAAAGCGUGGGGAGCGAACAGG